ACUGGGAUGGCCGAGUGGUUAAAGCGUUGGACUUAAGAUCCAAUGGACAUGUGUCUGUGUGGAUUCGAACCCCACUCCUGGCA